CUGUCCAACGUUAGCGCAGACACGUUGGCGGCGUGUGCGCCUCCGGGGCUGCUGAUUAGAAUAGGGGACUUGGCCGUGGAUGGAAUCCGGGAAACCCAAACCGGAGAUGGAAGGAUGAGGCUGCGUUUGCAGCGCGUGAAUGGGACGCGGAUAUCAAAGCAGACUGCAAUACCUGUGUGGAAAUAGAAGACAGAAAGGUGAGUCAAUAUUUUUCAUUUUUAGGGUUGCAAACAA
rnacentral:lncRNA from 1 species